ACUUGCUUGUGGGCAUUUGAAUUUGUAACUACUAUGUUAAAAUAACAAGGAGUCUCCUUGAACUGCUUCUGGAAUUUAGGGCAUGAGGAUAAAAAGAUAACAUCUUUCCUGUGCUCCAAAGGACUGGGGAAAGUCGGGCCCCUAUUGGACUCAUGUCCUAUUUACAUGGAAAUCCAAGGAGGGCCUGAAAGUCUACGUCAACGGGACCCUGAGCACCUCUGACCCGAGUGGAAAAGUGUCUCGUGACUAUGGAGAGUCCAACGUCAACCUCGUGAUAGGGUCUGAGCAGGACCAGGCCAAGUGUUAUGAGAACGGUGCUUUCGAUGAGUUCAUCAUCUGGGAGCGGGCCCUGACUCCGGAUGAGAUCGCCAUGUAUUUCACUGCUGCCAUUGGAAAGCAUGCUUUAUUGUCUUCAACGCUGCCAAGCCUCUUCAUGACAUCUACAGCAAGCCCCAUGAUGCCCACAGAUGCCUACCAUCCCAUCAUAACCAACCUGACAGAAGAGAGAAAAACCUU
rnacentral:sRNA from 1 species